rnacentral:rRNA from 1 species
GUCCACGCCGUAAACGAUGAUAACUAGCUGUCCGGGCUCAUAGAGCUUGGGUGGCGCAGCUAACGCAUUAAGUUAUCCGCCUGGGGAGUACGGUCGCAAGAUUAAAACUCAAAGGAAUUGACGGGGGCCUGCACAAGCGGUGGAGCAUGUGGUUUAAUUCGAAGCAACGCGCAGAACCUUACCAGCCUUUGACAUCCUAGGACGGUUUCUGGAGACAGAUUCCUUCCCUUCGGGGACCUAGUGACAGGUGCUGCAUGGCU